GAUGAACGCUGGCGGCGUGCCUAAUACAUGCAAGUAGAACGCUGAAGGAAGGAGCUUGCUCUUUCCGGAUGAGUUGCGAACGGGUGAGUAACGCGUAGGUAACCUGCCUGGUAGCGGGGGAUAACUAUUGGAAACGAUAGCUAAUACCGCAUAACAGUAGAUGUUGCAUGAUAUCUACUUAAAAGGUGCAAUUGCACCACUACCAGAUGGACCUGCGUUGUAUUAGCUAGUUGGUGAGGUAACGGCUCACCAAGGCGACGAUACAUAGCCGACCUGAGAGGGUGGUCGGCCACACUGGGACUUGGACACGGCCCAGACUCCUACGGGAGGCAGCAGUAGGGAAUCUUCGGCAAUGGACGGAAGUCUGACCGAGCAACGCCGCGUGAGUGAAGAAGGUUUUCGGAUCGUAAAGCUCUGUUGUAAGAGAAGAACGAGUGUGAGAGUGGAAAGUUCACACUGUGACGGUAUCUUACCAGAAAGAGACGGCUAACUACGUG
rnacentral:rRNA from 1 species